rnacentral:sRNA from 1 species
UUUUUUUGAAUACUAGGAGGUUCUGGGCCGAUAAUCCCUCAGGCCCGAAACCACAACAUGUAAUAAGUUUUGUCCCAAGCGUCACUCGAAUCGACGACCUCUAAGUUUCGCCUAGGGUCUUUAUAUUUAUAUAUUUAGGAUCAUAU